CCGGUGGAGAGGGGGAAAAGCCAGUGCCAACUACUGGUGGUACCACACAUGGGGAAGAUUCUGGUGGAGAGGGGGAAAAGCCAGUGACACCCACUGGUGCCACAGAAGAGGAAGGUUCCGGUGGAGAGUGGGAAAUCCCAGUGCUACUCGGCUUUGUCAGACGAGGAGAAGUUUCCAGAAGCAAGGGUCAGAAGCGAGUGCCACCUGGUUGUGCCAAACGAGGGGCAGAUGAAUCCCCAAAUACCCAAGGACACUUUGUCACUCCCCAGGCCGUGUAACUGGCGUUCAGAAGUGUGGUCUCACCGCAGAGCGACCUGACCCUCCUGCAAUCUGCCUCCCCACCCAGCUCUUGGGACAAACCGUCCACCCUGCCUGCCGACCGCCAAGCCACCCAGAGGCCAGCUCUGCCACCACCAGCCACUGUAGUGUGCCACUAGGGGGCGCUGUGCUGCAGGGAGCAAGGCAGGGGCUCAAAAGAGGCGCUGUCCCCUGGCAGUCGGGGAUGGCCCCAGUGCAGCACUAGGGGGCGCUGUGCUGGCAACGUUCAUUGCAGUGUCUCUGGCACUUUCGUCUUUAAUCCAAGUGUUCGUUCUGGUGUCCUAGCUGAAUCCCUCGCUCUGCCUGCCUCGCUCCCCCCUGCGCUUCCAUCUGGAUACCAGGGUCACCUCCUCUUCCUGUAUUAAAUUGUGUAGCUCAGUACCCAGCCACCCAGCCCAGAGGUGACUGCAUCUCAGCACCGGGUGUGCUAUCCCUGUGCUGUGUUGUGUGCAGCUGUUCCCCAGCUGCCCCACCCCAGAGCUGGCUGCAUCUCAGCGCCAGGCGAGCCGUCCCCAUGCAACUGCACCCCAGAGGUGGCUGCAUCUCAGCGCCAAGCCAGUGAUCCCUGUGCGUGCAGCUUCUAAAGUGCUUUGGGAUCCACCAAAGCACCAUCACCAUGGCUAAAGAUACCACAUGAACUCACCGACUGUUGUCUUUCCAGUCACUUUCGCAGGUAAAAACGGGAAGGGACACAAAGGAAAGAUCCACGUCUAUUAGCUAUCGACCCACAUAAGAGAAUUCUGGCUCUGUCUGUUUGUUUCAUCCAAUGGCAGAUUGUCACUUGUUAAUUGGCAGCUCUCUCUGUUUCCUGUGUGGUCCCAGGUGCUGAGAUGUCGAAUCGGGCACGAGGGAAGCCACUUGCCUUCAUUUGGGUUAUGAUCCUUUCCCAGUGGGAUCUCCUACCCAGCAUCCUAUGGAUUUAGAAAUGGCAUUGCCUGAUGCCACAAUGCAACUGGCUCUGGGGAGGAACAUUUUUGUUUAACUGCCCAUUAAUUAUUAAUUGUUAUUAUUAUUAUUAUUAUUAAUAAUGUUACAAUAGUAUCCAGAGACUCUGAGAUCGGGGACUCCAUUGUGCUGAACAUGGCACAGAUCCCAACCGAGAUUGGGGGUCCCCAUUGUGCCAUGUUCUACACAGACCCUGGCCGAGAUCGGGGGCCCCCCCCCGUCGCACCAGGCACCUCACAGCUCAGGGACCCUGUUGUGCUGGGUGCUGCACAGACCCCGACCGAGAUCGGGGUCCUAGCUUUGUUCAUGGCGCACCAGAGGUGAUGUCUGCAUCCAAGUCUAAUUGUCAAUGCUGUGGUGACCUUGGGUUUCCCCCACUCCCACCCCAGUUUGGGUUUCAUUUGCCUCAUGUACGUAUAUCACCUGGAGGAAAGUGUAAUGAUCUUGGGUGUUACAAUGGCUUAAAACAAAUGCAAUACUGUUA